rnacentral:rRNA from 1 species
UACGUAGGGUGCAAGCGUUAAUCGGAAUUACUGGGCGUAAAGCGUGCGCAGGCGGUGAUGUAAGACAGGUGUGAAAUCCCCGGGCUUAACCUGGGAACUGCAUUUGUGACUGCAUUGCUGGAGUGCGGCAGAGGGGGAUGGAAUUCCGCGUGUAGCAGUGAAAUGCGUAGAUAUGCGGAGGAACACCGGUGGCGAAGGCGGCAUCCUGGACCGGCAUUGACGCUGAGGCGCGAAAGCCAGGGGAGCAAACGGG